UCCUAAUCUGAAUGGUCCUCAAGAGAACUC
rnacentral:piRNA from 1 species